GAUGAACGCUGGCGGCGUGCUUAACACAUGCGAGUCGAACGGAAAGGCCAGUGCUUGCACUGGUACUCGAGUGGCGAACGGGUGAGUAACACGUGGGUGAUCUGCCCUGCACUUCGGGAUAAGCCUGGGAAACUGGGUCUAAUACCGGAUAGGACAAUGGUUUGGAUGCCGUUGUGGAAAGUUUUUUCGGUGUGGGAUGAGCUCGCGGCCUAUCAGCUUGUUGGUGGGGUAAUGGCCUACCAAGGCGUCGACGGGUAGCCGGCCUGAGAGGGUGUACGGCCACAUUGGGACUGAGAUACGGCCCAGACUCCUACGGGAGGCAGCAGUGGGGAAUAUUGCACAAUGGGCGCAAGCCUGAUGCAGCGACGCCGCGUGGGGGAUGACGGCCUUCGGGUUGUAAACUCCUUUCGCUAGGGACGAAGCGUAUUUGUGACGGUACCUGGAGAAGAAGCACCGGCUAACUACGCG
rnacentral:rRNA from 1 species